AGUAAACCAGAAACUGCAAUGCCGACUUCUAGACAAAGUAGAAGUUCCUCACUACACUGGUGCACAGAGCCUAUUGUGUGUUACUGGUGGUGGAAAAAAACAGGUCCAAGCGUCGAGAAUGCAUUCCAGCAAUUUCGAUUCAACUCGCCAAGCCAUGGAAAUGGCUACUGAAAACACGACAGCAGUUCAAGACAGUCCAAGUAAUUGUGUUACUACAAAUCAAGAUGCAGCUGCAAGCCAGUACUGGACACAAAGGGAGACACGUUGUUCAUGGACAACCUGGACAAAGCAGCAAAGAGGGACAUCAAACGGUGCCGCAAGCGACAGGCUUUGGCUAGUUGGCUGAAAGAACUCUUGGCUGAAGAGAAGUUGCAGUUUGCCGGGACAACUGAGGACAUGAUGUCUGAUAUGGAGACUGACCCCAGUGGAUUUUUGGUUUCCUCUCCUAGCUGGCGCUCUGCUGAGUUUGAGUACCUGAUCAAAUCAUCUGGCGAAUGAAUGAUAGCUAACCGCUCUUAUGGGUAGAAGAGGCAUCGCCAAAACGAAAACAGUUCCACUCGUCCACAACCAGCCCUACCCUGGACACCUGAUUUCUCAGAACACUUAAAGAGAAGAGAAGCUGUGUUUUACCGGGCCACUGAGGACAUGAUCUCUGGUUUGGAUACAGGAUUUUUGGUUUCCUGAUCAAAUUAGCUGACCAGCGAAUGUCAAUUGAACUGGACUGAUUUACACACACACACUCAAGUGUCAAUUUGAGAGACACUCUACUUGAUAUCGUUUUUAGUAUAUUUAUCAGGCUGUAGUUAUUUUGUUGUCCAUUACUUAAAAUGUUUUGCUAUUUGUUUUUAGCCUUUCUAUUGGCAAAUUGCUAUGAGGUUAGUAUUGCAUGAAGGUUUUGAAGUACUAUGUUUUUUGCACUUAAAAAAUAAAAGCAGUUUUUGAUGGGAUAACAAACCUUUUAGAUAAUUUUUCCACCUAGCUAGAUCAAUGCACAAAUAUUGGAUGGCCUAUAAUCUUCAGGCCCUCAGGUGGCACUGCAUUAAA